GCGAAAUAUUUGAGGCGUUACGGUAACUUUUUUAUACUUUUGCCUCUGUUGUUUUUUUUAUUAACCAUGUCUUUUCCAUUUAUAAUUAAAAAAAAACGAUUCUAUAUUGGUUUUAUAAAUGACAGAAACUCUGUGAAUUUGUCAUUUGUCCUAGCAAGCUGGAGUUUGUUUAGUAACCUGGAUUUCUGUAUAAACAUAAAACAUGUAUUUAUAAAAUAAGUAAUACCAUACUUGUUGUUUAAUAUUUUUCCAGUGAAGGUUCCAUUUAUACAUGAAAGAGUAACAAUGUCAAUCCAGGCGUUUUCCUUCCCUGUACCUGAGACCAGAUUUUUUUCAGGCUGGACAAGUCUUCAAAUUCAAGAUAAGAAGAGGAGACAUGAGCAGUGUUAAUGUGGAAGACAUGCUGUACUGUAUGUGGCGGUAGUCAGUGAGGAGCUGGAGAAUGCUGUGCGUUCAGUACUUGCAAACCUGGAUGGUCUUCAUCCCUUCACCACCCAGCAUUUCAACAUUUUUCCUUUCCUUCCUUCCUAUACUUCUCUGAAUAUAAUUUUAAAGGGGUAGUUUACCUAAAAAUUAAAUUGAGCUGUUAUCUUUCUUCUGAAGAACACAGAACAGUUUGAAGAAUGUCGGGACCCAAACAGUUCUGGUUACCAUUGACUUCCAUUGUAUGAAGAAAAAAAAACACUAAAGUAAAUGGAAACAAGUGUCCAAAAUGAAGUUCAUGAAGGAGGGUGUAAAACUGUCUCCGUACCCCUUCCUUAUCACACUCUAUGUGGAGUAUCGUGAACCAGCCUUUCCAUAUGCAGUGAAAAAUACCAAUGCCUGGAACACACCGGAGGAAAUGUCUAUGAAAAAGUCCAAGAUGUGCUUGUGAGCCAAUGAGGAUAGUCCAGACCACUGCAAUGGAUCAUCCAGAAGAGGGCACUAUGAUCCAACACAGGCAUUAAUAAGCUAACCACUGAGUGCUUUCAGGAGUCCCCUUCCUCGGCCAAUGGUGCAGAAGCGAUGGUUUGUGGCAGUGAGAUUCAUGCUGACUCACAUGUGACUUGUCUACCAGCACCAGAUGUGCAUGAUGCUUGCUGUUUCCCUUCUCUGUUCUUCUGUAAGAGUCCUGCAAAUGCAAAAAAUCCCAACCAUCAUUCCUUGACACAUACAGAUAAGAAAGAAAACGCUGCUUCAGUUUUAAGCUUCAAGGUUUGUGCUGUUUGUGCAUUCUGUUUGUGUAAUUCUUCAAAACUUGUCAAUAACGGUUUUAACUGUUCAUUUACGCUGUAUGAGUGUUUCAAAUUCAUACUAAUAUUUUAAAUGGUUGCUUUGGGUGAAAAUUCCUUUUGUUGCAUGUCACUCUCGGUAAGCCUGAAAUUACAUUGUAUGUUCUAUUAUGUUGUUACCUGAAUAGAGUCGUUAGAACAGCGAGUUUUGUUGGCUUUUUAGUGUUUCUGUGUAUCCGAGUGUGUGCAUGUUGUUGCAGCGUUCACUAAAUUGAGUGUGUGUGGGGCAGACCACUCUCAAGAAGGUGAGGUCAUCGGCCAAGGCUAUACACGCCCGAUCCUCUUGUCUCAAAAUCCACACCUGUUUCUGACUGCCUUUGCAAAUUAUUACAGGAUCAAAGAAGAAUUAGUUGAAGCUCUCCUGUAUCUGUCAAAGACUUCUAACUUUGGGAUCAUGACUCAAGAAAAUGCCCAGAUUUAUCUCUGUGGUUUUUAUUUUCAGAGGUUACGUAUCGCUGUAACCUGGAGACCAGUAGAGUCAUGAAGAAUUAGAUUAUUAAUACAUCCGCUUGCACUUUAUAGCAGCUGCCAAAAC
ensembl:lncRNA